UAAAAGAAAAGGCAAAUCAUUAGAAAUAAUGAGAUGCAAAACUAUAGGGACUAAGUUCAGUUGAAUAUGUCUGCCAGAAGCCGAG
rnacentral:ncRNA from 1 species